rnacentral:rRNA from 1 species
GAUGAACGCUAGCGGCAGGCUUAACACAUGCAAGUCGAGGGGUAUAGUUCUUCGGAGCUAGAGACCGGCGCACGGGUGCGUAACGCGUAUGCAAUCUACCUUUUGCAGAGGGAUAGCCCAGAGAAAUUUGGAUUAAUACCUCAUAGUAUGUGAGAAUGGCAUCAUUUUCACAUUAAAGUCACAACGGCAUAAGAUGAGCAUGCGUCCCAUUAGCUUGUUGGUAAGGUAACGGCUUACCAAGGCAACGAUGGGUAGGGGUCCUGAGAGGGAGAACCCCCACACUGGUACUGGGACACGGACCCGACUCCUACGGGAGGCAGCAGUGAGGAAUAUUGGACAAUGGGCGCAAGCCUGAUCCAGCCAUGCCGCGUGCAGGAUGACGGUCCUAUGGAUUGUAAACUGCUUUUGUACAGGAAGAAACACUGGUUCGUGAACCAGCUUGACGGUACUGUAAGAAUAAGGAUCGGCUAACUCCGUGCCAGCAGCCGCGGUAACAC